rnacentral:rRNA from 1 species
UACGUAGGGGGCUAGCGUUGUCCGGAAUCAUUGGGCGUAAAGAGCGUGUAGGCGGCUCGGUAAGUCCGCUGUGAAAGUCCAGGGCUCAACCCUGGAAUGCCAGUGGAAACUGUCGAGCUAGAGUCCGGAAGAGGCGAGUGGAAUUCCUGGUGUAGCGGUGAAAUGCGUAGAUAUCGGAAGGAACACCAGUGGCGAAGGCGGCUAUCUGGACUGACACUGACGCUGAGGCGCGAAAGCGUGGGGAUCAAACAGG